rnacentral:rRNA from 1 species
AUUGAACGCUGGCGGCAGGCCUAACACAUGCAAGUCGAACGAGUGGCGGACGGGUGAGUUAUGUCUGGGAAUCUGCCUUAUGAAGGGGGUUAACUACUGGAAACGGUAGCUAAUACCGCAUACACUCGACUGAGCCCAUAUGGGAUUAGCUAGUAGGUAGGGUAACGGCUCACCUAGGAGACGAUACCUAGCUGGGCUGAGAGGAUGACCAGGCGCACUGGAACUGAGACACGGUCCAGACUCCUACGUGAGGCAGCAGUGGGGAAUAUUGCACAAUGGGCGCAAGCCGGAUGCAGCCAUGCCGCGUGUAUGAAGAAGGCCUUCGGGUUGUAAAGUACGUUCAGCGGGGAGGCGUUACCCGCAGAAGAAGCACCGGCUAACUCCGUGCCAGCAGCCGAGGUAAUAC